rnacentral:rRNA from 1 species
UGCCAGCCGCCGCGGUAAUACGGAGGGGGUUAGCGUUGUUCGGAAUUACUGGGCGUAAAGCGCACGUAGGCGGAUUAGAAAGUUGGGGGUGAAAUCCCAGGGCUCAACCCUGGAACUGCCUCCAAAACUACUAGUCUUGAGUUCGAGAGAGGUGAGUGGAAUUCCGAGUGUAGAGGUGAAAUUCGUAGAUAUUCGGAGGAACACCAGUGGCGAAGGCGACUUCCUGGCACAGUAUUGACGCUGAGAUGCGAAAGCGUGGGGAGCAAACAGGAUUAGGUA